CCUUAUAAAAGUACACAUUACACUGUCAGUAGAUCAGACGAAAAAUUUACGCAGGCUUGCAUCCUGAAUUGCUUAAUGUGUCGUGUGAAUAUGCCAUGUGACCACACAGAAUCAGAUCAUAUAAAAGCACGAAUGUUUGCUUUAGUUCACACUGACGGGUCAUGAAUGACGGAGGGACUGAUAUCUUUUUAUAGCCAUUUACAAGAAGCCCAAGCUAAAGUUUAAUGGAGUACAGCAAAAGGAUGGAAAGGAAUGCAUGGCAAUUCUGAUUGAAUUUUUUAUUUUUUCAAUUUUUUUUUUUUUUUACAAAUUUAAAGUCUACAAAGUCCUUUUAACCCUAAAACAUCAAGACAUGUAACACCAGCCAAAUACUAGCGAAAUACUGCGUCGAAAGGCGGAAUAACACACUUGAACAUAAGCACUAUCCACCACACGAGCUCACACACCAAUAUACGAAUGCUUUCCUGAAGCUGGAGUGUGUAAAAUUGUUUUUCUUUUUUUUUUGGGGCUGUUUGCCAGAAUUCAGGCACAGCGACAGUGACGGAGUCGGAUGUGUUAACAGAUAAGCCUUUAUUUUCAUAUCAGCAUUGCAGGGGAUUUAAACAUGCUGAACCGUUGCGCAAUAAUUUAACUUAUCACCUCCAUGUCAGUUAUGAGUUACCACUUCCCCCCUUCGGAUCGCUAACACACAGACACAGAGCGGAUCACGUAAUCAGUUAUAACCUGAUGCAAGACACGGACCUCGUAAACAUACUUUCAGAGAUACGACAAUAGACGUAAUGGGAGAAAAAAUAAAUAAAUAAAUAAAGGCUCCUCUACAAUUAUGUCUUUUUAUUUAUGACGAUUCAAUCUUCUAACUAAAGUGGCACCUGUCGAGGGGUGGGGUGUAUUUAUGAGGGAGGAAGUGAUCCGUCAGUUCUCAAAGUCGAUGUGAUGGAAGCAGGAAAAAUGGGCGAGCGUAAGGAUCUGAGUGACUUUUACAAGGGCCGGAUUGUGAUGGUCAGACGACCGGGUCGGAGCGUCUACAAAACGGCAGGUCUUGUGGGGUGUUUCUGGUACGCAGUGGUGAGGACAUACGAACAGCGAUCCGAGGAAGGACAAGCGGUGAACCGGAGACAGAGACAGCGUCACUGAUGCACAGGUCGUGGGCAUCUACUUGUUUAAUGGAUGUUCCACAAUAUUAAAUGUAUCUAUAAACGGG